rnacentral:lncRNA from 1 species
GGCGGAGGGAAGCUCGACGUGCGCAGACUGCUGAGUUCUUUCUCCGCAGUUGGCCGGUCGCUCGGUUUGACCCUGCCGAGCCGCCGUGUCUCCCCCCCAAAAUGGCGGAGCCCCUAGACAGGGUGCGCAUCUCGGCCGCUGAGCUGAGAGCCGGAGCGACGAGUUUCGUGGAGCGCGAAGCGGGCACCAGAGGCAUACGGGAAGCAAGAAAAGGUCCUCCACUGGGGAGGAAGCGACCCGACCUCCAGCGCUACCGACCAGGCCAGCGACAGUGUCACAAAGCCGGGGAAACGCAAAAUCUGCAGUGCGGGGGUGGAACGGGAGAGGGAGGAGGAACCGAGCCCUCGGACCGGGUAGCGGACGCUGAUACGGAUGGAAAUGUACAGCCAGAAAAUGUGGACAGCCCCUGCUGUAGUACCGACCUUGUGAAUCUUGGCAACAAGUACAACCACUGUGCUGUAAGUACCCCAAAACCCAGUAGUGGGGUGGUGGGCUUUGACCAAGUGGACCUUGGGAAGCACUCCACUACUGGUUCUCCUGGUGCUGACAGAAAGCCACAAGACAGCAGGCAUCCUGCGCAAAAACACACUCCUGCAAUUGCUGGUGUGCCAGACUCCUCUAGACUGAUGCGCAGGGUACGCAAGCCUGACCGCCAAAUAUACAAACCAGGAUGUUUGAGAGACCAGCACCUGCCACCAGAGUCUCGAUUCGCCAGUCAGGAGCACGGGAACAUGGGCCCUGCUAAGAGGGCUGCGAGAAAUGGUUUGGCUGUGGAGAACCUCACUGCCAAAGUGGAGAAGCUGAACAUGGCACAUGGGGAGGAGGUGGUGGUGGGGCAAGGAGGAGGCAAGGCUUGAAAGAGAGCAGCUGAGAUGUUGGAGACCCUGUACAGGGGACAGGUGUUGAAUUCUGGUCCAAGUCUCUGAGGGCUGGAGCCAGAAGGCUGAGCAGCUGACUCCACUCACUGGACCAGAAUCAG